GCAAAGUAAGAUCUACAAAUAAGUCAACAUGACCAAAAUGGUCAGUUGAUCACUUUAGGAGUUAUUGCCCUUUAUAGUCAAUUUUUAACCAUUUUUCGUAAAUCUUAGUAAUCUUUUACAAAAAUCUUCUCCUCUGAAACUACUGGGCCAAAUUUAACCAAACUUGGCCAUAAUCAUCAUUGGGGUAUCUAGUUUAAAAAUGUGUCCGGUGACCCGUCCAACCAACCAAGAUGGCCGCCAUGGCUAAAAAUAGAACAUAGUGGUAAAAUGCAGUUUUUGGCUUAUAACUCAAAAACCAAAGCAUUUAGAGCAAAUCUGACAUGAAUAAUAUUGUUCAUCAGGUCAAGAUCUAUCUGCCCUGAAAUUUUCAGAUGAAUCAGACAUUUCGUUG
rnacentral:lncRNA from 1 species